rnacentral:ncRNA from 1 species
UGCGAUGAGUCGAGAAAAACCAGACAAAGAAAUUUGUUUUGCUGCGGCAACUAGUGGUUAAUUUCGAAUGGGGACACAUGAUGCUACCGGAUUUUGUAGCGUGUCUGACGAACUUGGCCUAUGUGGAAAUU